AUUGAACGCUGGCGGCAGGCUUAACACAUGCAAGUCGAGCGGGGGAGGUUGCUUCGGUAACUGACCUAGCGGCGGACGGGUGAGUAAUGCUUAGGAAUCUGCCUAUUAGUGGGGGACAACAUUCCGAAAGGGAUGCUAAUACCGCAUACGCCCUACGGGGGAAAGCAGGGGAUCUUCGGACCUUGCGCUAAUAGAUGAGCCUAAGUCGGAUUAGCUAGUUGGUGGGGUAAAGGCCUACCAAGGCGACGAUCUGUAGCGGGUCUGAGAGGAUGAUCCGCCACACUGGGACUGAGACACGGCCCAGACUCCUACGGGAGGCAGCAGUGGGGAAUAUUGGACAAUGGGCGGAAGCCUGAUCCAGCCAUGCCGCGUGUGUGAAGAAGGCCUUUGGUUGUAAAGCACUUUAAGCGAGGAGGAGGCUCUUAAGGUUAAUACCCUUGAUGAGUGGACGUUACUCGCAGAAUAAGCACCGGCUAACUACGUGCCAGCAGCCGCCGUAAAAC
rnacentral:rRNA from 1 species